rnacentral:rRNA from 1 species
GAAGUUAAAGGCAGUGGCUUAACCAUUGUUCGCUUUGGAAACUGUUAGACUUGAGUGCAGAAGGGGAGAGUGGAAUUCCAUGUGUAGCGGUGAAAUGCGUAGAUAUAUGGAGGAACACCGGUGGCGAAAGCGGCUCUCUGGUCUGUAACUGACGCUGAGGCUCGAAAGCGUGGGGAGCAAACAGGAUUAGAUACCC